CACCACCACACCCUGUCAUACGAACUCUGCUUUUUAACUGGGGUCCUCAUGUUUGCAGGACAAGAUGGAGAACCAGGCCAUCUUCUCUGUCCCUAAUGAACCAUUUUGGGAGGAAACUAUGGAACUGUCCUAACUGUCUGUAACUAGGGUGACAGAGCAUGAGCCUGAAAAAAGGAAAAGAAAAAAAAGAGAAAGUGUUGCUCUCGUUCCAGCAAACGCACAUUGAGCUGGUUUGAAUGGCUAUCCUGCGAGCAUUGUCAUCAGCAGUCUCCUCACGUUCUUUGGUUUCGAUGUGAAUUACUUUUGAAGGAAGGCAUAUAUGCAAGUCAUCUGACCCAGGUUGUACGCGGGCUCCGCAGCAUAUGGCUGGGGGAAAGAACAUCGCAUCUUUUGUUCGCCUAGAACACCAGGUGACCUUGAAAUGCGAUCUUCCUGAUGCUACCUCCCAGGAGCUGAAAUUAUAGGCAAACACCACCAUUCCCAGUGUGAGUGGUGCCAGGCGUGGAAACCAGCGCUAUGGGCAUGCUCCAUCCAGUUCUUGCUUUAAACAUCUGUCACCCGUG
rnacentral:lncRNA from 1 species